AGAGUUUGAUCCUGGCUCAGGAUGAACGCUAGCUACAGGCUUAACACAUGCAAGUCGAGGGGCAUCAGGAAGAAAGCUUGCUUUCUUUGCUGGCGACCGGCGCACGGGUGAGUAACACGUAUCCAACCUGCCCUUUACUCGGGGAUAGCCUUUCGAAAGAAAGAUUAAUACCCGAUAGCAUAAUGAUUCCGCAUGGUUUCAUUAUUAAAGGAUUCCGGUAAAGGAUGGGGAUGCGUUCCAUUAGGUUGUUGGUGGGGUAACGGCUCACCAAGGCUUCGAUGGAUAGGGGUUCUGAGAGGAAGGUCCCCCACAUUGGAACUGAGACACGGUCCAAACUCCUACGGGAGGCAGCAGUGAGGAAUAUUGGUCAAUGGGCGCUAGCCUGAACCAGCCAAGUAGCGUGAAGGAUGAAGGCUCUAUGGGUCGUAAACUUCUUUUAUAUAAGAAUAAAGUGCAGUAUGUAUACUGUUUUGUAUGUAUUAUAUGAAUAAGGAUCGGCUAACUCCGUGCCAGCAGCCGCGGUAAUACGGAGGAUCCGAGCGUUAUCCGGAUUUAUUGGGUUUAAAGGGAGCGUAGGUGGACUGGUAAGUCAGUUGUGAAAGUUUGCGGCUCAACCGUAAAAUUGCAGUUGAUACUGUCAGUCUUGAGUACAGUAGAGGUGGGCGGAAUUCGUGGUGUAGCGGUGAAAUGCUUAGAUAUCACGAAGAACUCCGAUUGCGAAGGCAGCUCACUGGACUGCAACUGACACUGAUGCUCGAAAGUGUGGGUAUCAAACAGGAUUAGAUACCCUGGUAGUCCACACAGUAAACGAUGAAUACUCGCUGUUUGCGAUAUACAGUAAGCGGCCAAGCGAAAGCAUUAAGUAUUCCACCUGGGGAGUACGCCGGCAACGGUGAAACUCAAAGGAAUUGACGGGGGCCCGCACAAGCGGAGGAACAUGUGGUUUAAUUCGAUGAUACGCGAGGAACCUUACCCGGGCUUAAAUUGCAGUGGAAUGAUGUGGAAACAUGUCAGUGAGCAAUCACCGCUGUGAAGGUGCUGCAUGGUUGUCGUCAGCUCGUGCCGUGAGGUGUCGGCUUAAGUGCCAUAACGAGCGCAACCCUUAUCUUUAGUUACUAACAGGUUAUGCUGAGGACUCUAGAGAGACUGCCGUCGUAAGAUGUGAGGAAGGUGGGGAUGACGUCAAAUCAGCACGGCCCUUACGUCCGGGGCUACACACGUGUUACAAUGGGGGGUACAGAAGGCAGCUAGCGGGUGACCGUAUGCUAAUCCCAAAAGCCUCUCUCAGUUCGGAUCGAAGUCUGCAACCCGACUUCGUGAAGCUGGAUUCGCUAGUAAUCGCGCAUCAGCCACGGCGCGGUGAAUACGUUCCCGGGCCUUGUACACACCGCCCGUCAAGCCAUGGGAGCCGGGGGUACCUGAAGUACGUAACCGCAAGGAUCGUCCUAGGGUAAAACUGGUGACUGGGGCUAAGUCGUAACAAGGUAGCCGUACCGGAAGGUGCGGCUG
rnacentral:rRNA from 1 species